AUGAAGCGGAGCACGAGAUCAGAGCUAUUGGAGCGGUGGAGAUGCAUUGAGGAAGAAGCCGACGAAGACGACGAUCGGAUUGAGCCUUCUAAGCGUCACCGUCUUCACAAGAGCAAAGAGCAAUGGUUUGCAGAUACAUUUAAUUUCUUGAUCUGUUUGCCAAAAGAAAAUCAUAUUUGGUGUGGGUCAUGGGAUUUAAUGGGGCCUCUUCUGGAGACGUUUUACAACUAUUUUAAUGAUGAGCAUAGUGAUUCUCCUCUUAGACAACUAUGGAGGAGAAUCUCCGAAGAAAUGCGGCAAUGUAUCCAAUGCAUUUCCCAGCACUAUCAAGCACAAGAAAUGUAUAGCACUGAAUAUGAGUUGAGUUCUAUUGGCCCCCUUCUGGAUGUUUUGCGAAGGCUUGAUGAGGAGAGGGUGACACAACACUUAAUAGAGAUGAAUACUACAUUAGCUCGAAAGGAAUAUGAUCCUGCCCGUGAUAAUGCUGAAGUUGUUAGUGUCAUGUAUGAGGUUUUAAUGUUCCCUGUACUGUUGGAUGAUGGAUCCCUAUUCCUUGAAUUUGAAAGAUUUAUCGAAGCAGUUGAUAAUAUGCAUGAACUGGCCUUGGCCGGACAGCAGCAGUUUCCGGGUGUUUAUGCAUUAUUUUUUUUCAAAAGAAGAGUGCGUUCUGUUGGUCAUCGUUUAGCUGGUUCUAUGGGCAAACUGAGGAAAUCAGUAGACUUAGAACCCUUGCAGCCUUUGCUUAAGAAAUUCAUUGGCUUGUUGGAAACAGAAGUGUUACCUUCAACUGAGAAAACUACAAGGCCCAGAGUGCAGCUGGACCGCACAUCCAUAUGGAUAGGAAUCAAAACUUUGCUUGGGUUCUUAGAACCUCCAGCUUUUGAAGAAGGGAUAUUAGAGCGGUAUCCCAUUUUCCUUGAUAUUGUCCUCAACCAUAUUGGUGGUGAUUCAUCAGAGUUCUCUCAUGCAGUUGCUUGCUUGAGAAAAAUCUUUGAAAUGCUCGGACUGUAAUUUAUGUAGUCUCUUGAAGCUUUGCAAGAUGGCGAACAUGAAAAGCAGCGUAGGCAUUUUCUGUAUUUUCUCCUCCAUCAGGUGCCUGUGAGCAGUAACUUCAGUGUCUUGACAAGACAAAGGGCAUGCCAGAUAUCCCUUCUUAUUGUACAUCGAGGUUACACUAUGAACCCACCAUGUCCUCCUUUUGAAUGUGCACAUAUGUGGGGCCCUUCUCUUGUGUCAUCUAUGAAAGAUUCUUCGCUUCACAGCUCUCUAAGACAGCCUGCCUUUGAUCUAAUACAGACCAUCAUAGUGUCUGAUGCUGCUGCAUUAAUAAGUUCAGUUCUGAAUGCGCACCCACCCCUGAGUUCUGAGAAAAACUUAUCUUUUCAGUUGAAUGAUGAAGAUGAAGACGGGCUUCCAUUUUCACUGGAUAAUGAAGAGAAGGAUACUAAAAUGGCUCUUCCAGUUAGGACCUGGCUUUCAACCUGUGCUACAGAAAUAUCUCCAACCUUCGGGUGGAAGGUUCCUACUGGUUCUGACGAUGGUGGAGAAGGGAAGGAGUCAAAAAACUCGAUCAAAGUUUCAACAAUGCAUCUUCCUUUAGUUCGAACCUUUAAUAGGUUGACAGCACAUUUUGUGGUUCAAGUGGGGCAGGGGGAACUUUGUAAGCAGUGGACAUGGGAACCGAGGAUGGGUGAAAGCUUGUUCCUUGCGCUUAUAGAUCCUGAUGAUAAUGUGAGGCAAUUUGGCAAGUGCAUCUUGGAACAGGUUUCCAAUACAAGGGGUCUUUCUUGUGGUUUGAAUUUCCUUUGCUGUCAUCAAUCUUCACUGUCCUCAGUUUUCUUUGGCGUGAGACAUGCUGUGAAACUGGUUCAACUUGAUGCUGUUGUAUUAAAUUUUCACACUCUGCAUCACUUUUUCUUUGUUCUACGCAAAUUGCUUAAUGAGGGGGAUAUACCUACUUCGGCUAUUCCAGAACCUGACCACUUAAGUACAGCAAAGUUCUCUUCCCAUGGUGGAUUUCUUAGGCAGCCAAUCUUUGAUCCACCGGCUGUGAGCGUCUCUGGGCAAUCGUCAAAUGUUGACUCAAAGUUACUGGGAAGGUUUUGUUACUUGGUAUCGGAAACUGCGUGGCCUUCCAUCUGUGGGAGCUUAUUAGAAGGAAAAGCUUUUAUCAAUAACAGUGUUUGUCAGAUGACUUGUGUCCGCAUACUCGAGAUCAUCCCUUGUGUGUUUGAAAGACUAUACUAUUUUUGUUAUAAACCGUGCGGGGGUUCCGGUAUAUUGUCAAAUACUUGUGACUUCUCAUGGCUUCAUGAUAUAAUGGAUUGGGGAAAGUCAUCACUUAAAGUUGUAGUCAUAUACUGGCAACGAGCAAUCACCUCCUUGCUCAAAUUUCUGAAAGGGACAUGUAAAAGUGCUAUGGCAUCGACAAUUGGCAUUAUUGAAAAAAUCAUUUCAAGUGACUGUGUUUCCAUGGAUGAAUUGAUCGAACAAGUGUCGCUCCUCUCUGUAUCUUUGUCUAAGGAAGCUUCCACUAGUAUUGGAAUGGCCAACAUCCAGUCAAAGGGUUUAUCCCCUGAAGCCUUGUCUUUUGAGAAGAAAUAUUCAGUUCCAGAUGUGAAAUACUUGUCCAUUGGGGAUCCAGAUGUUCAAAUUCCUCACUCUUCCAUGGAGGAUGACAGAAAGCGUGGUAAUAAUAUGAUUGUCCUUUCUGAUGAUGAAACUGAAGUAGUUUUACCAAGUCAGACAGUUUCAUUUGAUACUAAGAUGAGUCGGUGCUUGAUGGAUGACAAGACAGUGAAUUCUAAAAGCACUUCAUAUGAUGAUUCUGUGAAGAAGAAGCCUUCUGGUGUUGACACUUCCACCAAUUCUUUCAAUGCUUACCAGAAAAUUGAUGCUACAGAUGGUACUGGCCUUGCUUCUCAGAAACAGGAUUGUGAUAGAUUAAUAGAAAUACAGCAGCCUGUUUCUUUGUUGAAAUCAAGGGAUGUGGAUAAUAGUAGGAAAGAAAUAAUCCCUGAUUGCAAUAUAAAUGAUUCGUUUAAAGUCAAGGGUACAGCUAAGUCAUCUGACAAUGCUGUCAGUUCCAAAAAGUUGAGUCAAGCUGGCAAAAAUAUGGCAGGGAAAGAACGUGGCGCUUUAUUGAAGGAGACGAUAUGUGAUGACGAAGAUGAUCCAUUAGACUCUGCUCUCAACUCAAUCAGACGCCAGCAGUCAUUUGUGCCAAAGCCAAGCAUUUCUGCUCCUAAGAGACAACUCAUUCAGCUUCAAUCUCCUUCUCAAAAUAGAGCUGGCCAUUUACAUAGGUUGGAAGGUAGAAAAAGGUUCCAGCCCCCAAGGCUCGAUGAAUGGUAUAGACCUAUAUUAGAAUUAGAUUACUUUGCACUGGUAGGAGUAGCAUCUGCAAGUGAAAAUGAUAAACAUAAAGUUGCAAAAUUAAAGGAGGUUCCUGUGAAUUUCCAAUCACCUGAACAGUAUGUUGGGAUUUUUUGUCCAUUAGUCUUGGAGGAGUUUAAAGCACAAUUACAGAGUUCAUUUCUAGAAAUGUCUUCAUGGGAAGAAGUAUAUAUUGGUAGCUUGUCGGUGCUUUCAGUUGAAAGAAUUGAUGAUUUUCAUCUUGUUCGCUUUGCUCAUGAUGUCAAUGAUUCUAUAGCAUCAAGCAGCUUUUCAGAAAAUGACCUUGUAUUGCUAACGAAAGAGCCCCCGCAAAAAUCUUCUCAUGAAGUUCAUGUUCUCGGAAAGGUGGAGAGGCGUGAGAGAGACAACAAAAGGAGAUUAAAUAUCAUACUCAUCAGGUUCUAUCUUCUGAGUGGUACUUCACGUUUACAUCAAGCCAGAAGAAAUCUCCUUGAACGUAGUAAAUGGCAUGCAAGUCGUGUCAUGAACAUAACAUCUCAACUUCGAGAAUUUCAGGCAUUAUCAUUGAUAAAGGAUAUACCUUUGCUUCCGAUUAUUUUGAAGCCUGUCAAUGAUUCUCUUGAUUCUAAUGUGAGCAAUGAAGUAGAUCUGAGUAAAUUGUCGCUACCCUUGGAGCGAAUUCUGAAGUCUUCCUUUAAUGAUAGUCAACUUCAGGCAAUUAGUAUUGCUACUGAGACACCUAAGCGGAAGAAAGAUUUUGAAUUAUCUCUUAUUCAGGGUCCUCCAGGUACUGGUAAGACGAGAACUAUUCUAGCCAUCGUCAGUGCUUUGCUUGCUUCUCCUCCACAGAAGAUAGAUUGUGAAAAAAAAAAUCUUGAUGGCAGUUUGAAACGAAUUUCAGUUCCUAAGAUUAACCAGGCUGCUGCUAUUGCAAGGGCAUGGCAGGAUGCAGCCUUGGCUAGACAACUGGAUGAGGAUGUACAGAGGAAUACAAAGUCUAUAGAAAGUUCCAUGAGAGGUAGGGUACUCAUUUGUGCUCAAUCUAAUGCUGCUGUUGAUGAGUUAGUGUCAAGGAUUUCUAGCCAUGGCCUUUAUGGUAGUGAUGGAAAGAUGUAUAAGCCAUAUCUUGUAAGGGUUGGAAAUGUGAAAACAAUACAUCCAAAUUCACUUCCAUUUUUUCUAGAUACAAUAGUUGAUCAACGUGUAGCAGAUGAGAGGAUGAAACUGAAUAAUACAAAGAAUGAUUUGAGUUCAGAGUCCUCAAUAGCACUGCGUGCUAAUCUUGAAAAGUUAGUUGACAGUAUUAGAUUCUAUGAAGCCAAGCGCGCUAACUUAAGUGAUGAAAAUACUGACCUCAAGUCCUCGGAAGAUGAUACAUGUAAGGAGGAAGAUAGAAAGGAAAUGUCUGAUGCAGAAAUAGCAUUCAAGUUGAGAAAACUGUAUGAGCAAAAGAAGCAAAUCUAUAAGGAGCUCAGUUCUGUUCAGCAGCAGGAGAAGAAAUUUUAUGAAGAAAUCAAAGGACUUCGAUAUAAAUUGCGGAAGUCUAUACUAAGAGAAGCUGAAAUAGUGGUAACUACACUAAGUGGCUGUGGGGGAGACCUAUAUGGAGUGUGUUCUGAAUCUAUGUCAAGUCAUAAGUUUAGCAGUCCAUCUGAACAUACCCUUUUUGAUGCUGUUGUUAUUGAUGAAGCUGCUCAAGCUCUGGAACCUGCUACUCUGAUUCCUCUUCAGCUAUUAAAGUCAACUGGAACCAAAUGUGUCAUGGUUGGUGAUCCUAAGCAGCUUCCUGCAACAGUUCUCUCAAACGUGGCUAGUAAAUUUCUAUUUGAGUGCAGCAUGUUUGAACGUUUACAAAGGGCUGGGCACCCUGUUAUUAUGCUGACAAAACAGUAUAGGAUGCACCCAGACAUAUGUCUGUUUCCUUCUAUGCAUUUUUAUGAGAAGAAGCUGCUGAAUGGCGAUGAUAUGUCUAGCAAAUCAGCACCAUUUCAUGAGACAAAAGGUCUAGGACCUUAUAUUUUUUAUGAUGUUAUUGAUGGUCGGGAGCUUCGUGGUAAGAAUUCUAGUGCCAUGUCCCUAUAUAAUGAGCAUGAAGCUGAUGCUGCAGUUGAACUACUCAAGUUUUUUAAAAAGAGGUACCCUUCAGAAUUUCAUGGUGGAAGAAUUGGCAUCAUAACUCCAUAUAAGUCUCAACUGUCACUUCUGCGUUCUCGUUUCUCUAGCGCAUUUGGAUCUUCUAUCAUAGAUGCUAUGGAACUUAAUACUGUUGAUGGUUUCCAAGGUCGGGAGGUUGAUAUACUGAUACUUUCUACUGUUAGAGCAGCAGAACCAAGCUCUGCUGCACCUGGAAACAAUUCCGGCAGUAUUGGAUUUGUUGCUGAUGUUAGACGGAUGAAUGUUGCUUUGACGAGAGCCAAACUUUCACUUUGGGUUUUGGGAAAUGCAAGGACUUUGCAGAUGAACCAAAAUUGGGCUGCUCUUGUAAAAGAUGCCAGAAAGAGAAAUUUGGUUAUAACGACUAAAGCACCUUACAAGUACAUCUUUGAACCAGGUCUCCAGAAUAAUUCUGGCACUCAUUUGUUAGAGUUGCAACGUAGUCAGAAGAUCCAUGAUGCUACUCAGCAUGCGAAAAUCAUCGAUCGGAAUGCACAUGAAGCUCUUGACAGAAGAACAAAGCACAUUGGUCCUGUUCCUUCUAGUAACAGAAGACUUUAUGAGAGUGAAAAAGCUUUUUCUGGAACUAAAGAAGAUGUCAGACCUAAAAACUUAAUUGAUGGUAAAAUCCAUGGCCAGAGUAAAGUUUCCACGGAUGUUGGGUCUACAAUGCCAGGAAGACAUGUAGCGGAUGGUGAAAGUACAGAUAAAGAGAGCAGGAAAAGGAAACAUAGUUUGGACAAUACUCAAAUGGGUAAAAGAAAAGUUAAAUUUGAAAAUUCAAAGAGAGAUGCAGAUAACUCUGAACAAAGAGGAGGUGAUGGGCAUCGUCCUAUGAAAAUGCAAGAGUCGAAAAGAGCUAAGAGAAUUUCCGAGGGUGAUAGAAGCCAGACAAGUCAGGUUUCACCUCCCACAAAUCAAAUGAAGGAUGCAAGUGAUGGAGGUAGAGCUUCAAAUCAAGCUGGAACUUCUCAUGAUUUAAUUGCAAAAAGGAAACAGCAGCGUGAAGCUGUUGAUGCUAUUCUUUACUCAGCUCUAAUUCCUUCAAAGACGUCCAAGUCUGAAAAAUCAACAAGACCUGCGCCUGCCAAAAGACCGGUAUCUUCCUCAACUGCAGGUGGUAGCAUAAAACCAGCGAAGACAAGGAAAGAUUAACUCGAACGGUCUCAUUCUUUAGCUAGUGUUCAUUUGGCCAGCAUUUCGACUCCACUUCCUUUGGAAGCAUCAAGACAAGACACCAGGGAGAAGAACUACUAGGUUUUGGGCUGGAGCUUACUCUCCCUGUUCAUCUGUUUGAAGAACCAGGUGGAGAAUAUCAUAAGCGAUGAAGAUGUCCAGCUGACUGCUUGCUUAAUAUGUGGUACUUGGUUGAUUCCCUCCACAGUACCAAAGAGCAGGAGACGUUCUUUCUGUACAUCUGAAAGGCUUAGAAAACCAAAGAUCAGGAGACGGGGCUUUUGAAAAGAACGAGUUUGAUCUGAAAUUGUCUGUGGAACUGCACUUGGGCACCAUUGUAGAUUAGCCGGCGAUCGUAGUCUGUAAAUAUCAGUCGAUGUAACUACCUAUCACCUCAUGCUACUUAUCCACCAAAAAAGAAAGCAAGUUUUGAGUACAGGUAGUUUUAUUUGACAGGACUCAUGUACUCUUACUAGCGAGCUAACCUCGGCCCCAAUUUGGGAUUGUUAUGCUGUGAGAGUGUCAGAGGAAGCACUUCUAAGGUUGUUGGAGAGUAGCAGCUGAUGAGUGUAUAGGAGUUGUG